rnacentral:rRNA from 1 species
GGCUGUGUGCCUAAUACAUGCAUGUCGAACGAAGCACUUGUGCUUAGUGGCGAAUGGGUGAGUAACACGUACUUAAUCUACCCUCAAGUUUGGGACAACAUUUGGAAACGAAUGCUAAUACCGAAUAUUUAUUACUUCCGCAUGGAAGAAAUAUAAAAGGAGCGUUUGCUCCGCUUAAGGAUGAGAGUGCGUUGCAUUAGUUAGUUGGUAGGGUAAAGGCCUACCAAGACGAUGAUGCAUAGCGGGGUCGAGAGGCUGAACCGUCACACUGGGACUGAGAUACGGCCCAGACUCCUACGGGAGGCAGCAGUAGGGAAUUUUCCACAAUGAACGAAAGUUUGAUGGAGCAACACAGCGUGCAGGAUGAAGGUCUUCGGAUCGUAAACUGCUGUUAUAAGAGAAGAACAAGUUUGAUAGGAAAUGAUCAAACCCUGACGGUAUCUUAUCAGAAAGCACCGGCAAACUAUGUGCCAGCAGCCGCGGUAAUACAUAGGGUGCAAGCGUUAUCCGGAAUUAUUGGGCGUAAAGCGUUCGUAGGCGGUUUAUUAAGUCUAGAGUUAAAUACUGGGGCUCAACCCCAGCUCGCUCUGGAUACUGGUAGACUAGAGUUAUAGAGAGAUUAGCGGAACUCCAUGUGAAGCGGUGGAAUGCGUAGAUAUAUGGAAGAACACCAAUAGCGAAGGCAGCUAAUUGGCUAUACACUGACGCUGAGGAACGAAAGCGUGGGGAGCAAACAGGAUUAGAUACCCUGGUAGUCCACGCCGUAAACGAUGAUCGUUAGCCGGUGGGCUAUUUGAAGAUACGCGGAGAACCUUACCCACUUUUGACAUCUUCUGCAAUGCUAUAGAGAUAUAGUGGAGGUUAACAGAAUGACAGAUGGUGCAUGGUUGUCGUCAGCUCGUGUCGUGAGAUGUUAGGUUAAGUCCUGCAACGAGCGCAACCCCUAUCAUUAGUUACUAAUAUUAAGUUAAGGACUCUAAUGAGACUGCCUGGGUAACCAGGAGGAAGGUGGGGACGACGUCAAAUCAUCAUGCCUCUUACAAGUGGGGCUACACACGUGCUACAAUGGGCAGUACAGAAUGAUGCAACAUGGCAACAUUUAGCAAAACACAAAAACUGCUCUCAGUUCGGAUUGGAGUCUGCAACUCGACUCCAUGAAGUUGGAAUCGCUAGUAAUCGUAGGUCAGCAAUACUACGGUGAAUACGUUCUCGGGUCUUGUACACACCGCCCGUCACACCACGGGAGCCGAUAAUGCCCGAAGCCGGUUGGUUAACUUCGGAUGCUGCUGUCUAAGGCAGGAUUGGUAACUGGGGUGAAGUCGUAACAAGGUAUCCCUACGAGAACGUGGGGGUGGAU